GAUAAUGUUUUAUGAUAUUGAUUUGAUAAUAGAAAAGAAAUGUUAAAAUAAAAUUAUUUAGACGAGCAUCAGAUAUAUCGUAAUUGUUUGCUUUAUUUUAAUGAAAUUAUAUGAAGAUCUUUUUGUUUUUCUUAAUUUUAUUUUAUUUUGUUGUUCAUCGGAUAUAUUCAAAAAUUAAGCAUCCUGUAGAUUUAAUGUUUGGAAUAUUUUUUGUAAAUCAAUGGUUUUUUUUGUCGGAAAUCAAUAGGCUUGUCAUAUUUGAGCACCUUACAUCAUGGGGUAAUAUCCCUGAAAACAAUUUUUCUUUGUUUUGUUCAUCAAUUUUUUUUUUAAUAUUUAGUUAAAACUUAAAAGUAAGCAAUAACAUGGUGUUUUAGAUAUGUGUAAUGGUCAAUAUCAAC
rnacentral:lncRNA from 1 species